GAUGAACGCUGACAGAAUGCUUAACACAUGCAAAGUCAACUUGAAUUUGGGUUUUUAACUUAGAUUUGGGUGGCGGACGGGUGAGUAACGCGUAAAGAACUUGCCUCACAGCUAGGGACAACAUUUAGAAAUGAAUGCUAAUACCUGAUAUUAUGAUUUUAAGGCAUCUUAGAAUUAUGAAAGCUAUAAGCACUGUGAGAGAGCUUUGCGUCCCAUUAGCUAGUUGGAGAGGUAACAGCUCACCAAGGCGAUGAUGGGUAGCCGGCCUGAGAGGGUGAACGGCCACAAGGGGACUGAGACACGGCCCUUACUCCUACGGGAGGCAGCAGUGGGGAAUAUUGGACAAUGGACCGAGAGUCUGAUCCAGCAAUUCCGUGUGCACGAUGAAGUUUUUCGGAAUGUAAAGUGCUUUCAGUUGGGAAGAAAGAAAUGACGGUACCAACAGAAGAAGUGACGGCUAAAUACGUGCCAGCAGCCGCGGUAAUACGUAUGUCACGAGCGUUAUCCGGAUUUAUUGGGCGUAAAGCGCGUCUAGGUGGUUAUGUAAGUCUGAUGUGAAAAUGCAGGGCUCAACUCUGUAUUGCGUUGGAAACUGUGUAACUAGAGUACUGGAGAGGUAAGCGGAACUACAAGUGUAGAGGUGAAAUUCGUAGAUAUUUGUAGGAAUGCCGAUGGGGAAGCCAGCUUACUGGACAGAUACUGACGCUAAAGCGCGAAAGCGUGGGUAGCAAACAGG
rnacentral:rRNA from 1 species